rnacentral:misc_RNA from 1 species
AGUCGUAACAAGGUAUCCGUAGGUGAACCUGCGGAUGGAUCAUUACCAAAGAUUUUCAAAAGUCUUGUGAACUGUUUUGACUAUUGGUGGCCUGUGUGUUGGCGUGUCCUUGACUUUGGUUGAGGGUACGUUAACGCCUAGGCCACUUAACAUACACGUAUAUACCCCUAAACUGACGUCUACUUUAGUAGUAAAUCAAACUAAAGACAACUUUUAGCAACGGAUCUCUUGGCUCUC